rnacentral:rRNA from 1 species
GGAGAAACUUGCGGAAGGAUCAUUACCGAGUGCGGGCCCUCGCGGCCCAACCUCCCACCCUUGUCUCUAUACACCUGUUGCUUUGGCGGGCCCACCGGGGCCACCUGGUCGCCGGGGGACGCACGUCUCCGGGCCCGCGCCCGCCGAAGCGCUCUGUGAACCCUGAUGAAGAUGGGCUGUCUGAGUACUGUGAAAAUUGUCAAAACUUUCAACAAUGGAUCUCUUGGUUCCGGCAUCGAUGAAGAACGCAGCGAAAUGCGAUAAGUAAUGUGAAUUGCAGAAUUCCGUGAAUCAUCGAAUCUUUGAACGCACAUUGCGCCCCCUGGCAUUCCGGGGGGCAUGCCUGUCCGAGCGUCAUUUCUGCCCUCAAGCACGGCUUGUGUGUUGGGUGUGGUCCCCCCGGGGACCUGCCCGAAAGGCAGCGGCGACGUCCGUCUGGUCCUCGAGCGUAUGGGGCUCUGUCACUCGCUCGGGAAGGACCUGCGGGGGUUGGUCACCACCAUGUUUUACCACGGUUGACCUCGGAAAAGGUAGGU